CUUACGACCAUCCCUUAUGAGAUCUG
rnacentral:piRNA from 1 species